AACGAACGCUGGCGGCAUGCCUAACACAUGCAAGUCGAACGAGACCUUCGGGUCUAGUGGCGCACGGGUGCGUAACGCGUGGGAACCUGCCCUUAGGUUCGGAAUAACUCCCCGAAAGGGGUGCUAAUACCGGAUAAUGUCUUCGGACCAAAGAUUUAUCGCCUUUGGAUGGGCCCGCGUUUGAUUAGCUAGUUGGUAGGAUAAAAGCCUACCAAGGCGACGAUCCAUAGCUGGUCUGAGAGGAUGAUCAGCCACACUGGGACUGAGACACGGCCCAGACUCCUACGGGAGGCAGCAGUGGGGAAUAUUGGACAAUGGGCGAAAGCCUGAUCCAGCAAUGCCGCGUGAGUGAUGAAGGCCUUAGGGUUGUAAAGCUCUUUUACCCGGGAUGAUAAUGACAGUACCGGGAGAAUAAGCUCCGGCUAACUCCGUG
rnacentral:rRNA from 1 species